UUAACUCAUAUUUGUAUGAAACGGGAUCGUUUGCGUAAGUUUGCCGCUAGGGCCGCUGUUCCAACUGCAUACAAAAUUGGGUUA
rnacentral:pre_miRNA from 1 species